UACGAAGGGUGCAAGCGUUAAUCGGAAUUACUGGGCGUAAAGCGCGCGUAGGUGGUUCGUUAAGUUAGGAGUGAAAGCCCCGGGCUCAACCUGGGAAUUGCUUCUAAAACUGGCGGACUAGAGUAUGGUAGAGGGUGGUGGAAUUUCCUGUGUAGCGGUGAAAUGCGUAGAUAUAGGAAGGAACAUCAGUGGCGAAGGCGACCACCUGGACUAAUACUGACACUGAGGUGCGAAAGCGUGGGGAGCAAACAGG
rnacentral:rRNA from 1 species